GAUGAACGCUGGCGGCGUGCUUAACACAUGCAAGUCGAACGAAGCACUUUAACCUGAUUCUUCGGAUGAAGGUUUUUGUGACUGAGUGGCGGACGGGUGAGUAACGCGUGGGUAACCUGCCUCAUACAGGGGGAUAACAGUUAGAAAUGACUGCUAAUACCGCAUAAGACCACAGAGCCGCAUGGCCCGGUGGGAAAAACUCCGGUGGUAUGAGAUGGACCCGCGUCUGAUUAGGUGGUUGGUGGGGUAACGGCCUACCAAGCCAACGAUCAGUAGCCGACGGGAGAGGGUGGCCGGCCACAUUGGGACUGGGACACGGCCCAAACGCCUACGGGAGGCAGCAGUGGGGAAUAUUGCACAAUGGGGGAAACCCUGAUGCAGCGAGGCCGCGUGAGCGAAGAAGUAUUUCGGUAUGUAAAGCUCUAUCAGCAGGGAAGAAAAUGACGGUACCUGACUAAGAAGCACCGGCUAAAUACGU
rnacentral:rRNA from 1 species